UUGAGUGUUGGCUGCGCUUGUUCUGUGUGAUGAACUUUUAAGAAUCGUUCCCCUAUAUAUACGAAAAUACAUUCUAAAAAUUUGAGCUUUAUUAUUGGAAGUUCGUGAAGUUUUUUAUUCAUGUGAUGUUUUCUUAUGAUUUGUACCUGGCGCCCAGCUUGCGGUUAAGACUGAUAAUUGCAUUAAGGGGAAUAUCAUGGCGCGGGCAGCUAUUAAUAGACAACUUGUCUUUAUAAAAACCACAAUGAAUCAUUUAUAAAUAUUAUCGUAAGAGUUUAUAACAUUGC